rnacentral:lncRNA from 1 species
UGGGUAGCAGUUCCUUCAGACGACGUUCACCGUGCCGUUUCAUCUAAUUUUUACUUAAUUGCAUUAUCAUCACAAGCAUUCUAUCCGUCUUAAGGAACCUGGUCGAACUUCCAUUUAUUUCGUACGCCGAAGUUGCCUACGUCAUCCGUAAGUUUGAAGGACUUACAAUGGCUCCCAUCGAAGAAAAAACAAGAGGACUAAUUUCUCUCUGCCUGGGCCUAGACUUUGACCCUACAGCUAUUCACUUCGACGAUUUCUUCGGAACGCUCAAGAUCUCCUUCACGAAGAUCGGCAAGGAAAUCUCUCAUAUGUCAGCGUCAACCUCAACUUGUCCCUACACAACAGAAUAUUCCAGACAUACUACAGUGCAAGGAACAUUAAAAUACG